GAAGAGUCCAUAUGGAAGGAAGAGAAGAGGCCAAGCACGAUGGCUCAUGCCUGCAAUCCUAGUACUUUGGGAGGCCAAGGAUCUCCCAAAUUCUAUAAGCUUCAGGCCCCCGC